UCCCCCUCUAACCACAAGACUACCUGCCUCCCCCCUCUAACCACUAGGCUACCUGCCUCCCCCCUCUAACCACUAGGCUACCUGCCUCCCCCUCUAACCACUAGGCUACCUGCCUCCCCCCUCUAACCACUAGGCUACCUCCUCCCCCCUCCUCCCCCUCUAACCACUAGGCUACCUGCCUCCCCCUCUAACCACUAGACUACCUGCCUCCCCCCUCUAACCACUAGGCUACCUGCCUCCCCCCUCUAACCACUAGGCUACCACUAGGCUACCUACAACUGCUCCAGCAUGGAGGACAGGCAGACAGGCAGACAGACAGGCAGACAGACAGACAGACAGGCAGACAGACAGGCAGACAGGCAGACAGACAGACAGACAGGCAGACAGGCACUUCUGUCAUUCCCCAAAAAGACAGACAUUUCCAUGCUCAGAGUCUCAGCCACUUUAGAUUUGAGUGUUGUCUCUGUGUUUUAUCCCACACCAGUGUUUUUCUCUAGCUGUAUAUCAACAAGGUGUAUACUGUAUAUACUGACAGUCUUUAAUGACAGUGUGAGCCGCUGUCUACGUCGGAAUGGCGCCACUCCUACGCGACUCCCGUCCCUGCAGGCAGAAUCGACACGCUAUCUGACCUAAGACAAUGGCGUUACUGUAAAUCAACAAGACAUUGGGGCCAGAGCAAGUUCAUCUCACAUUGAACAGGUUGACUCCCAAAUGGAAACCUAUCCCAUAUAUAUAUAGUGCACUAUUUCUGUCCAGAUCCCUAAGGGGUUGGUAGGUUGGGU
rnacentral:lncRNA from 1 species